rnacentral:rRNA from 1 species
UACAGGGGGUGCAAACGUUGCUCGGAAUCAUUGGGCGUAAAGCGCACGUAGGCGGUUCGUUAUGUCGGAUGUGAAAGCCCUUGGCUUAACCGAGGAAGUGCAUCCGAAACUGGCGAGCUAGAGUACGAAAGAGGAUCGCGGAAUUCCCGGUGUAGAGGUGAAAUUCGUAGAUAUCGGGAGGAACACCGGUGGCGAAGGCGGCGAUCUGGGUCGAUACUGACGCUGAGGCGCGAAAGCGUGGGGAGCAAACAGG